GCGAGAGUGGCGGAAUGGCAGACGCGCCGGACUUAGGAUCCGGUGGGCAACCAUGAGGGUUCAAGUCCCUCCUCUCGCACCA
rnacentral:tRNA from 1 species